GUCCCUGUUUAGAAGGAGCUCAUUGAGGAGCUGCCUGAUAAUUCUCCACCCGGCGCCGUCCUCGCUAACUCCCUGAUUGCUGUGGGCAACCUCAGCACCAUGACGCCUGCCCUGGAGCCAGAGCUGGAGACCCCUCUCCUCCGAGCUGCCCUGCACGCCGUCUUCACCCUGGGCAUGGAGAAGGACACCACCCAAGUGCAGGUAGAUCAGC